UACGUAGGGGGCAAGCGUUGUCCGGAAUCAUUGGGCGUAAAGAGCGUGUAGGCGGUCCGAUAAGUCCGCUGUGAAAGUCCAGGGCUCAACCCUGGAAAGCCGGUGGAUACUGCCGGGCUAGAGUCCGGAAGAGGCGAGUGGAAUUCCUGGUGUAGCGGUGGAAUGCGCAGAUAUCAGGAGGAACACCAAUGGCGAAGGCAGCUCGCUGGGACGGUACUGACGCUGAGGCGCGAAAGCGUGGGGAGCGAACAGG
rnacentral:rRNA from 1 species